rnacentral:rRNA from 1 species
AUUGAACGCUGGCGGCAGGCCUAACACAUGCAAGUCGAGCGGAUGAAGGGAGCUUGCUCCUGGAUUCAGCGGCGGACGGGUGAGUAAUGCCUAGGAAUCUGCCUGGUAGUGGGGGAUAACGUCCGGAAACGGGCGCUAAUACCGCAUACGUCCUGAGGGAGAAAGUGGGGGAUCUUCGGACCUCACGCUAUCAGAUGAGCCUAGGUCGGAUUAGCUAGUUGGUGGGGUAAAGGCCUACCAAGGCGACGAUCCGUAACUGGUCUGAGAGGAUGAUCAGUCACACUGGAACGGAGACACGGUCCCGCCCCCGCGGGGAGCCGGCAGGGGGGAAUUUUGGACAAAGGGCGAAGCCCUGACCCACCAUGGCGGCGGGUGGAAGGAAGUUGUCUGAUUGUCAAGCUUUUUUAAGUGGGGAGAAAGGAAAGUAAUUAAUUCCCUGUUUUUUUUCACUUGCCCAAAAAAAAAACCCCCGCCCACCUUCUUC